rnacentral:tRNA from 1 species
GCCGGGAUGGCGGAAUUGGUAGACGCAACGGACUUAAAAUCCGUUGGAGGACAUCCCUCCGUGCGGGUUCGAGUCCCGCUCCCGGUACCA